rnacentral:rRNA from 1 species
AGCGAACGCUGGCGGCAGGCCUAACACAUGCAAGUCGAACGAAGUCUUCGGACUUAGUGGCGGACGGGUGAGUAACACGUGGGAACGUGCCUUUAGGUUCGGAAUAACUCAGGGAAACUUGUGCUAAUACCGAAUGUGCCCUUCGGGGGAAAGAUUUAUCGCCUUUAGAGCGGCCCGCGUCUGAUUAGCUAGUUGGUGGGGUAAUGGCCCACCAAGGCUACGAUCAGUAGCUGGUCUGAGAGGAUGACCAGCCACAUUGGGACUGAGACACGGCCCAAACUCCUACGGGAGGCAGCAGUGGGGAAUCUUGCGCAAUGGGCGAAAGCCUGACGCAGCCAUGCCGCGUGGAUGAUGAAGGUCUUAGGAUUGUAAAAUCCUUUCACCGGUGAAGAUAAUGACUGUAGCCGGAGAAGAAGCCCCGGCUAACUUCGUGCCAGCAGCCGCCGUAAUAC